rnacentral:rRNA from 1 species
UGAUGUGGAGCGAAACUCAAAAAAUAAGUCUCAGUUCGGAUUGAAGGCUGAAAUUCGCCUUCAUGAAGCCGGAAUUGCUAGUAAUGGCAGGUCAGCAUACUGCCGUGAAUACGUUCCCGGGCCUUGUACACACCGCCCGUCACACCAUGAGAGUUGGGAAUACCCGAAGCCUGUGAGCUAACAUUUAUGAGGCAGCAGUCGAAGGUAGAAUCAAUGAGUUGGGGUGAAGUCGUAACAAGGUACC